rnacentral:rRNA from 1 species
UACGUAGGGUCCAAGCGUUGUCCGGAUUUAUUGGGCGUAAAGAGCUCGUAGGCGGCUCAGUAAGUCGGCUGUGAAAACUCGGGGCUCAACCCCGAGACGCCAUCCGAUACUGCUGUGGCUUGAGUCUGGUAGGGGAACACGGAAUUCCUGGUGUAGCGGUGAAAUGCGCAGAUAUCAGGAGGAACACCGGUGGCGAAGGCGGGUCUCUGGGCAACAACUGACGCUGAGGAGCGAAAGCGUGGGGAGCGAACAGG